rnacentral:rRNA from 1 species
AAAAGAAACCAACAGGGAUUGCCUUAGUAGCGGCGAGUGAAGCGGCAAAAGCUCAAAUUUGAAAUCUGGCGCCUUCGGUGUCCGAGUUGUAAUUUGAAGAUUGUAACCUUGGGGUUGGCUCUUGUCUAUGUUUCUUGGAACAGGACGUCACAGAGGGUGAGAAUCCCGUGCGAUGAGAUGCCCAAUUCUAUGUAAGGUGCUUUCGAAGAGUCGAGUUGUUUGGGAAUGCAGCUCUAAGUGGGUGGUAAAUUCCAUCUAAAGCUAAAUAUUGGCGAGAGACCGAUAGCGAACAAGUACAGUGAUGGAAAGAUGAAAAGAACUUUGAAAAGAGAGUGAAAAAGUACGUGAAAUUGUUGAAAGGGAAGGGUUUGAGAUCAGACUCGAUAUUUUGUGAGCCUUGCCUUCGUGGCGGGGUGACCCGCAGCUUAUCGGGCCAGCAUCGGUUUGGGCGGUAGGAUAAUGGCGUAGGAAUGUGACUUUACUUCGGUGAAGUGUUAUAGCCUGCGUUGAUGCUGCCUGCCUAGACCGAGGACUGCGAUUUUAUCAAGGAUGCUGGCAUAAUGAUCCCAAACCGCCC